GGCGCUUUGGCGGAGUGGUUAACGCGAUGCCCUGCUAAGGCAUUUCCUUCGGGAGCGUGUGUUCGAAUCACACAGGCGUCG
rfam:Aureobasidium pullulans var. pullulans EXF-150 unplaced genomic scaffold scaffold_41, whole genome shotgun sequence.